rnacentral:rRNA from 1 species
CCCUUAGAUGUCCUGGGCCGCACGCGUGCUACACUGACGCAUACAGCGAGCACUUUCCAGUUCCGAGAGGCUACUGGUAAUCAUCAAUAUGCGUCGUGAUGGGGAUAGAUCUUUGGAAUUCUGGAUCUUGAACGAGGAAUGCCUAGUAAUCGCAGGUCAUUAGCCUGCGAUGAUUAAGUCCCUGCCCUUUGUACACACCGCCCGUCGCUACUACCGAUUUCGAGUGGUCAGGUGAAUCUUUCGGACUGUGGGCGCCCUUGAGGUGUUCGCGGAAAGUCAGGUAAAUCUUAUCACCUAGAGGAAGUAAAAGUCGUAACA